GGUGAUUUGGCUCAGUGGUAGAGUGCUUGCCUAGCAAGCGCAAGGCCCUGGGUUCGAUCCCCAGCUCCG
rnacentral:tRNA from 1 species